CCAGAUUUCAGAAGCGGAAAAACCAUAAAAAUGUUCCCUGGAGAGUUUGUUCGAUCCCUUUAACCCAGUGAGGAGUGCCCCUGCAAAUGGGUCAUUGAGUGGAAAUAACCGGAUGGAACCAUACAUUCCGUCAUGCUAACAAACUUCACACGUGCCACAGAGUGUGUGGAUGUGAGGUGGAUAUGUAUCAUGUGCACAACGCAGAACAGUGAUCCACAACAGCACAACUCCAGUGCUUCAUAGAUCUAGACCUUCAACUUUCUGCUGACUGAAGAAAGAAGGAAAAGGUGCAUAUCUGGUGAAAUGAAAAUGCCUCCCAUAUGAGGUGAAUGUAGCUGUCCUCGCAUCGGCCCCUGACAUUGAAACCCGCGGAGAUUCUCUGUUCCCGGGAUGGCUGCACCAUGGAAGAGUACGCCCCAUUCAAACGGAUCACUACUCUGUUCACUGCCUUAAUUCACCCUUUGCUUGUGGCCUUAAAAUACUUUCUGUUGUAAAUGUGGGACUGGGACGUCCCAUAGAUCAUCUGCGCCACACAUGUGUGUAACUGAAGUAGGCCUGCUACAGGUCUGGAAAUGCGGGCCUUGCCAUUGACACACCAAUACCGUGUUCUCGCUGGCCUGUCCACGCUCAAGCCUGCCUGGCCUGUGUCAUGUGAGCUCUGGUUUCUUGCAUUUCUGUCUAAUUCCCCAGGUACUCCUGACCAUGGCUGACUUCCAACUGCUUCCCAUAUGAGGUUAAUUGAGGUGUCAAUACAAAGAGACUCACUCUGUCCACCAGUACUUUUGCCCCUGUGGGAGGUGGUUAGAGAACUGCUGUAACUUGUUUAAAUGAUUAUGCUACCACAACACAAUUUGGAUACCCUUCUUAUGAAUGUUUUUUUUUUUCUUUUCUUAGCUGCCAUACAAGGAAUGUAGUUCAUUGUAGUUGCUCAAUAAUAUGUUAUUUUGAAAUUAGAUCUGCUUUGAGGAAAUCAGUGGUUUAAUGUUAGCAAAUGGUACUGA